AGUCCUGUAGCUCAGUGGUUAGAGCACUUGCCUUCCAAGCAAGACACCUGGGUUCAUUUCCCAGCAGGGCGA
rnacentral:tRNA from 1 species